rnacentral:rRNA from 1 species
CCGGCACGGGUGAGUAACACGUAUCCAACCUGCCGUCUACUCUUGGACAGCUCUGAAAGGAAGAUUAAUACAAGAUGGCAUCAUGAGUCCGCAUGUUCACAUGAUUAAAGGUAUUCCGGUAGACGAUGGGGAUGCGUUCCAUUAGAUAGUAGGCGGGGUAACGGCCCACCUAGUCUUCGAUGGAUAGGGGUUCUGAGAGGAAGGUCCCCCACAUUGGAACUGAGACACGGUCCAA